AAAAGAAGGAAAGAUAAAGAGAAGGAGCAAAAAAAAAAAAGAAUGGAUGAAAGUAGGAAGCUGAAGGAGAAGAGCCAGCCAGGCAAUGAUAUGGGAAAGAGAGGGGCAAAUAGAAAGACUCAACAAAAGGGAAAGUCACAGGGAUUAUGCUGAUCUUCCAUACAUCUCAAUCUACAUCUUGAAUUAGGUGAAAGUUUACUAAGCCUAUCUUCCCCUGGGCUUCGGGUGGUGCUUGCACUUGGGAAGUUCUUAAAAGUACUAUUGUUAUUGGUCUCCAAAAGCCUGAAUUUGGUUAUAUUCAAAUAAAUCAACAACAACAAGAAGAGCAGAUUUUUAAGUUAAGCCAUCCAAAUUCAACAAAUAAUAGGCUGCUAAAACAGAAGCUGGAGAGAGCUGCCUCAGACCCCUCCCCUUCCAAAUAAUUUUCCCAACCGUUAACUGCCAACCGUUAACUGCCAACUGCCACAACGCCUCAGUGGUUGAAAGCUGUUGGCAGAAUGGUGUGGGAGAAUCACGUUUCUCCACCAGCUCCUCUCCUCCUACCUAGCGACUCUCCCUGGCUCAAUGUCCAAUAUGACCAAGCCCUCCCCCUGGCAGGAUCCCUCUCUCAUCCUGCCCACUUCUGACCUCUGUGGUCUCAUCUCCAAGGCCUGAAAAGUCUUCCCCUCAAAGCUGCCAGACCUCAGUCCCUCCACCUUCGAACCCCUGCAAAGAUGAAACCUCCUCCAACAAACCUUCCUGACUACUCAUUAUCCCAACGAUUCUUCAGCUUCCUCUCACAAUGACAGAUUUAUUUGUCUAUUUCUGCCCAUUCUCUGCGAUUGAGUGAUCUAGUAGAUGGAGUGCCUCGUUCAUCUUAUGGCCGUCAAUAAGCAAUCGUGAUUUUGAAGAGAGGGGAAGGCUCCGCAGAAAGUAAUUGGAAAGCAUUUACUACAUGGUCAAUGCACGGGAGCCUUCACAAACCCACAACCUACUCAGAGGCCGUAUCUCAACGGUCCCUCGGCUUUAGGUGAGCCUACAUACCUCGCUGUCUGCCCUGUCUGGGGACAGAGAGGCACCAAUUACAGUGGAAGUCUGAGUGAUCCGUCAUCUUACUCUUCAGCAAUGAUCUCUCAAAGAGAAAAGAAGCAGCGGUUCACUCAGGAGCUUCCGCUGUAGCUUCUCUGCCCAGAGGGGACUCGAGCUGGCUGGGAGUCUCAGGACUUUCACAAGGGUAUUGAUGCUCCAGGAAGGUUGGGCCCAAUACCCAGGGCCUCAGCUCCUUUCACGUGCUGUUCAGAAGGCGGUUUAGGGUGAGGACUAAGGGAAAGGAAAGAAAAAGAGAAGGCUUUUAAAAGUGAGAGAGAGAAUAAUCGCAGUGCUAAGGUAUUUAUUGAAAUGCAGUUUAGGGCAAAGCAAUGUAUUAGGUACCGGAAUAAGUAGAAAAUAAGCAAGUUCAGAAAGAGUAAUUAGUCCACAAAAUGCUGGGUCUCAGCUGGGGAGAACAGACUGCUGGAAAAGAGAAAUUUGAGGUCGGGUAUAGAAAAUAGACUUUAGAGGAAUAGAAAUGUCUGUAAGUAAAAAGUUUGGAAGGGUCGACUGACAAUCAUCUCCACUUCAGGCCAAGUCUGCUGAAGCGUCUGCAGUGCUCUUAAAUUUCAAAAAGCUCAAAGUUGGCAGGUCCCUGAACCCUGGCUCCCACCAGCCCAUAGUUUUGGGAUCCAGUGAUGAUUAGCCAGAGGAAUGCUGGGAAUUGGAGAGAUAAAGGGAGGAUUUCCCGGGUGACCGGCCCUGGGAGGCUAGGAGUCAUCAUUAAAGGCUCUGGUGUUCCCCCACACCAUCUUGAAGCUGCACUGUCCUGGUGCUGCCUCCCGUUUCUGGGACUUAUUUUAGACCCGAGUUCAUUGUUCAUGUUGGGCUCUACCUAAUGGGAUUCCCUUUUGUGCACCUGGUGGAGACAUGGAGGGAGACGGGAGCACUGGCCUCUCCUUAGCGUUGUUGGGUGGGACCAGUGGAGAACCCCAAAGCUCUGGUAUCCCCUGACCAGCCAGUAGGUCUCACCUUGCCAGGAGAGGAUAGUUUUUCUUCUUGCAAGUGGUGAUCAUAUGUGGAAGCCACUAUUCCUGUAGGAGAAACAGAAAUGGAUCACGGACAGCAGGUGUUGGUCUAUCAGUGGAGCAUAUUACAGUCAGACCCCCUUGACGCCAAUCUGCCCCCUAAGGAAGUCUACCUCAGCUUCCCAGAAUCCUUUGGUUCCCGUUUCCCCUUUCCUCUAUCCAUCCCAGUGAGGUCCGACUGAUGGGAGCUCCAGCUCUCUGAGGCCCAGAACAAUUGCGGAGCCUGAGGGGUGAAGGGAGGGGAGAAGCUCCAUGUUUUGACAUCCCUGUAGGGAGCUGUUGGGAAAACAUUGCAGAAGAUCGACCAGGCUGGCAGGCAGCAAUCAGUAGAAGAGCAUUGUGGCCGAAGGGACGGAGUACAGGACUGAGACAGGAGAGCUUAGUUCUAUUUCAAGUUCCACCAACUGACUGCUGCUUGUUCAGGGGUCAUGCAGUGCUCUUUGAAUAGAGCCAGGGUUGGCACUAAUUCAGCUGUAAAACAAUGUUACUCCCUACUAAAGAAAGAGAGAUCACCAAAGGAAAAAGCAGCUGACACCUUCGGCAAGAGAAGAUUCUUGACACCAUUCAGCAAACUGAGCUGCUCUGAAAAAUGAAUCCAUCAACAUUGGAUAGAAUCACCAUCAUAUUAUGGCUAGUUUAAAGCUGAGUUGAAGGCAUCUUAUCUGACCUUUUCCCCAUAAAUGAUGGAAUAAAGAUUGAAUGCUUUCUACUAGGUA